UAUCAUCGAACCUCGAGGGGUGUCCCUCUGGGUUCGGAACUUUGGGGGUUGCGGGCAUGUCCUCGUGGACGGUCGGCUCUCCUGAAAUACAUCAGCGGAGAGGAUGGCAUCGCGACGGAGCGUGACCUUCCCCUCGACGUCGUAAGGAUCGUCGUGGGGCUCGUGAUCGCGAGCGAUGGCGUCCAUCUCAGGCUUUUCCGGUGUUCAUACGUGUCUCAGG
rnacentral:misc_RNA from 1 species